GACCAAUGAAUACACGGUAGAACAUAACACAUAUUUCGAAGAAUCUGCAAUUUAUUCCACUUUAUCAUUGCAUUAAUUUCGUCCUCUUUUUCUCUUCGCUGGAUUUCCCAGUGUACCAGCAGAUCACAACAAAAGGAAGGCACAACAGAAGAUAAAUGGCUUUGUCUAUGAAAAAGGAGACAAGCAGCAGAAAAGGGCUUACCGUGUCAUCGGUUAAAUUUCUCUGUGCGUCAUCUCUACGAAUGAUUAAUUCCUUUAUCUUCAAAAAUGAAGACGCUAAAUCAGCAAAAACA
rnacentral:ribozyme from 13 species